GCCAAACAGCAUCAUCUGUACAGACGCGCUUGUUUAAAAUGAGACGAGCGUCUUUCCGGUUUGGCUACAAGAAAUGCUACGACGAGCAAGAAAGCAAACAUGGAGGCGUUAAACUGGAAACCAGCACGUGUUUCAGUGGAAUUAAAGACCCGAAUAAGAAAUAAUGGCGGAUGAUACCGCGUCGAUGAACCACCUGGUGAUCUGAUACGUGAACACGAGCAUCUGCAAGUGAAAGAAUGUCAUGCUGUGGCGUUUCACAAGCUUCCCUCUAGACUCUCUCAAACUGCAUUUUCAGCUCUAUUAUCUGAAGCCUGGAGAUGGGGGCGUUUGUUCUGCAGGAUGUAUGAGCCAUUGUGAACAUGACAACCAAAAUGCUUGCUUUCAGCGAGUGGAAAGACUAACAUCUGAGACCCGGCAGCCUCGUGCCCAGAAAACCAUGCCAGCCCCACAGCAGCUGCUGGUACAGUCGCAGGUCACGACGAAGUUCAGCUGGAACAUUCACCUGUUGGAUGUAUUGCCUGUCAUUGAUCCCUGAGCUGCUGCAGAAUGACCUGAAAUGGCCUUAAGUAAUGCUGGAAGACACAUUUCCAGCAAACUGACCUGCCCCUAGGUACCUGAACACCUGCAUGCUGCUUCCUACACAGUGGGCAGUAAGACAAGGUGUUGGACCAGGUGAGUGUCAGAUGUGAUGAGAACAACAUGAACAACCUUGGGAAGACAAGAUGUUGAAGCUCUACAGCUGUGUUGAGUGUACUGCUGGUGAAUCCCGACACAAACAGCAGCAGUGGGAGCCCUGCGCUCGGGUGGGUUGCCACCUCACGGUGCCUUUCAUGCCACACCGGUGACCUGGGAAGCAUCCAACCACAUCAUCCUCCUCUGCGCCAGCCUCUGAAGGUUUCACGCUGAUUGAAGUCAAGCCACGAUCCCGGCACGUCCAACCCUUGCUGCUCAGUGGGAGUGUAAAACACACUGAGGGUGUCCCACCGGUUCAAGUGGGAGACUGGGUGUUCGUGAAAUCCAUUAAGAGGAAACACUGGUCCUCACCAUGGUGGGAAGGGCCCUACCAGGUGCUGCUGAUGACACCCACAGCCAUAAAGAGAGCAGAGUGAGCUUCAUGGAUUCACCUGUCGCACUGCAAGAAACAGAGGUUCUUGGAGGAAAACUCCAACAACAGUGAGGGGAAGUCUGACUACAAAGGGGGUUAAACCUUCUAGUGGUUCACCGUCUCAAAGUCAGUGAAGAAACCAACAGAUCUUCACUGUUUUUAGGGAGCAGAGUACUCUGGGAUCCUCAUACAUGCAUCCACACACUCGCUGGACAAAGAACAGGACAAGCACACUGUUAGUUGUCAAAUAGGAGGUGAAGUGCUGGUAACCUCUCCCUCCAGAAGAUAGGUCAUGACUCAACGUGUCAAGACUACGGCCCUGGUGUUUUUGAACUUUCAUUUCAUGUUUGUUGAUGACAAAAGAAAUUCACAGAGGAAAAAGAAACCAAGAACUCGAUGUUGAUGAUUACCAUGAUAAUAUCUGGUUCCAGAUGGCUAAUUUAACUGCAACAAGUUUGAAUAUGUCUGACUGCUAUUUGUGCUCAUUCAUACCUCGUCAUUCACGGACCAAUCCUUGCUUAACACCAAAACUAGUUACACUAAACAAAAUCAUGUGUAUCAUUGCAAUGCACAUGGCACUCACAACAACCCCAGCCUUUGCAAAAUUCACUUAGUAUUUACCAAACUGCACUGCUACCAGUAACUAUGACUUGACAAGCAGGAGAAUGCCUCAACAUUUUAGUAUAACUACUAAUAACACGAACCUGCAGGGAAUCACGACGGCACACUAUCCUAACACACCAUCACUGUGUCGUAGGAGGAGCCGUGCUGAGGGAGAAAUGGACCUAGGCGUGACAGACUGUAUGACUUACUUUCCUGUGGAAGGUGUUUGGAGCCAUCCCUGUGCAGCGGUUCUCGGUGUGAGGAAGGUUGGGCAAAACCAAUCAACUUCACUGCCGUAGAAAUCCGUGGCAAUGUGGUGGGAUGGGUGUCUGAACCUGUUAUGAAUACACUGCUUCCACAUGCGGGAGGGUUCCCCUGCCCGACUGACCAUGUUUGGGUUUGCGGCCAUAAGGUAUACUUAUAUCUCCCUCAGAGAUGGGAUGAAGCGUGCUCCUUGGCUAAACUACAGCCUGCUGCUCUUGUGAUUCCCAAAUCAGAUGUUACCACUAUUCUUAGUGCAACAACAAGACAAAGGAAACGUUCUGACCCUUCCACUACUAGAUCUCCACCACUAGUCUCAGAUGUUAGAGGUUUCUUUCACAUUUUUUCCCAUGUACCGAACAGCAUCUCUAGGACACAGGAUGAACGAUAUGCACUUUGAACUUGCCUAAAAUUCAACUAAAAAUUUGCACACCCACUCUCAUAAUAAUGCUGUUACUCUUCAUAUUCACUUGUUGCAUCAUUCGAUUUUUCAGAGCACUCAUGAGUAAGACAAUAAACAGGACUGUGUCCAAGGUAAUGUUGAGUGAUGAAUUCAGAGCACUUAUGGUAGACACAUUCAUUUGAUGAAGACGAUUUUGUGUAAACUACUGUUGAUUGAAAUCCACCGCUGAGUGUAAGUUGAUGAAGUUGUUGUGAACAUGACCAUUUUGCAGGAAACCUCACAAGGGGGAUGUAAUGAUGUGAUUACGAGACGUUGACAUUCAUCAUUGAUAAACAGGGGGAAAUGUUAGAAGAAUUAUGUUUGGAAUACUUAUAGUACUUAUGUUAGAAGAAAUAGACUUAGGAUAUUUAGAACAGAAUACUUGCUUUUAGAUUAUCAUUAAUUUAUCAUUAAUUUAUCAUUGAGUGACUGUGAAACAUAUGUGCCUUUUGAACCAUGACUCUGUAUGUAUUUUAAACCAUGAUUCUACGUGUACUUUAUGAAAGAAACAUGUAGACACAGCACAUACUGAGAGGCGACCAGAACUAGGCCUUCUAGAUAACAAGGCAAGCAGACGCAAAUACCACAUGUCUGCCUCUAAAGGUCUUUCUGUUAAUAUCUUACUGCUCCUGAAGAAGGUUUUUCCCAUUGUCAUCUCAUGCUGAGUCAUGGUACCACCCUCUAUGUUCCAUUCCUGUCUGAAGCAAAUAAAAAGACGCAGAGGAGACACAGGCUCUUUGGAGUUGGGUGGCUGAUGCUAUGGUUUGUACAGCCUGUCUCUCUCCACUUGCGGCAAGAAAAAUACAA